rnacentral:rRNA from 1 species
GAGUUUGAUCCUGGCUCAGAUUGAACGCUGGCGGCAGGCCUAACACAUGCAAGUCGAGCGGUAGAGAGAAGCUUGCUUCUCUUGAGAGCGGCGGACGGGUGAGUAAUGCCUAGGAAUCUGCCUGGUAGUGGGGGAUAACGCUCGGAAACGGACGCUAAUACCGCAUACGUCCUACGGGAGAAAGCAGGGGACCUUCGGGCCUUGCGCUAUCCAGAUGAGCCUAGGUCGGAUUAGCUAGUUGGUGAGGUAAUGGCUCACCCAAGGCGACGAUCCGUAACUGGUCUGAGAGGAUGAUCAGUCACACUGGAACUGAGACACGGUCCAGACUCCUACGGGAGGCAGCAGUGGGGAAUAUUGGACAAUGGGCGAAAGCCUGAUCCAGCCAUGCCGCGUGUGUGAAGAAGGUCUUCGGAUUGUAAAGCACUUUAAGUUGGAGAAGGGCAGUAAAUUAAUACUUUGCUGUUUUGACGUUUACCGACAGAAUAAGCACCGGCUAACUCUGUGCCAGCCG